rnacentral:misc_RNA from 1 species
UACCUACCCUUGACAUGCCAGGAACCCUGCAGAAAUGCAGGGGUGCCCGAAAGGGAACCUGGACACAGGUGCUGCAUGGCUGUCGUCAGCUCGUGUCGUGAGAUGUUGGGUUAAGUCCCGCAACGAGCGCAACCCUUGUCAUUAGUUGCUACAUUCAGUUGGGCACUCUAAUGAGACUGCCGGUGACAAACCGGAGGAAGGUGGGGAUGACGUGGACGUCAUAACC